CUCCGCCUCUCUCUGUGCCGGGGCUGGCGAGCAGCAGGAGCUUGGGCUUGGGGUGGCGUGACUGCUGGUGGCAGCCUCUGUCCCAGCAGGCCUUCUCUCCCUGUCUCUGCCUACCCACCAAGUGCAGGGGACUGGCAGCACCCUUGGUGCCCAGCCUGGCCCUGCUCACACACCAAGACAAUAAAAGCAGCUCAAAUCCGGGCUCUGCCGAGACCUCCCGAAUCUGCCUCCAGGUGGGCCGGGCACCUGCCUUUCAAAAGCUCUCUGGGAGCCUCGCUGUGGGCUGUUGUGAGCCCAGGGGAUUCACGUGAGCGCCCACGCUGCCCGAGAGGCCGGCUCCCGGAGGAACACUCACCACCCCGCCCCGGCGCUGCCUCCGUGUGGAAGUUACAGAGCUGCUGGAGCCACUGCCAAGGUCGGCGCCACACGGUGCUGACCCUGCCACUUCCUGCGCAUGUCCCCUGCGCUUGCCUGGGCUCUUGUGUGUCCAGAGUCCUGUCCCUGUGUCUCCACCCUGGCCAGGUCUUGUUCCUGGCUGCCCUGUGUCAGGCACCUGUCCCCAACACUGUCCGCUCCAGAGCCUGGCCGGUCCCUCCAGGGCUGACCUGUGGCUGCGGAGUGCAGGCAGGCCUGUCUCGCGUCUUUACAAACACUGAGCCCUUGUCCUUUGAUUUUGAAAGAAUCCUCUGUGCUCAAGAUCGCCCUUGGACUGGAGCCAUCGGGGUUACUGCUCGGUCACGCUGCCUGGCUGGCCUGGUGGACGCUCUUGGUCUACAUACUCCCAACACCCGAGAUUUUGGGAUUCUACUUUUUUGUUUGUUUGUUUGUUUUUGGUGGGGGUUGGUCAAACAUGAUACCCAGCACUGGACAGGAAACCUGCAGUGGCUGGUUGGUCUCAUGUACUCCGCUCGGGAGAGGGGGACCUUGCUGCCUUGCAGGGCCACAUGGGAGGGUGCGCUGGGGGUGCAGGAUGAGCACAGCAGCUGUGAGGUGGGGGUGAUGUGGCUGGGUGGUCUGAGUCAUUCCUGGAGCUGCUGGGGAGAUGAAGCGGGCUGCUCAGUACCUGGCCCCGUGGGGUACGCACAGCCAGGGAGCAGAGGACGGAGAGGGGUUUCCGGGAGGCCGUUGAGCCUUGCCGGCGUUGGAUGUCAGGGCUUCCCCCAUGUUCAUUGUUGA
rnacentral:lncRNA from 1 species